rnacentral:rRNA from 1 species
AUGGACAAGAAGCAGGGCUUCUUCUCGGCGCUGCGGGAGGAGGUGGCCCGCGGGUUGUCGCCGGCGCGGGCGCGGCGCAGGGCCGAGGAGGUGGCGGCGGCGAAGGCGGCGCUGCGGUACGCGGGGGGCGGCGGCGGGGAGGCGCUCGCGCCGCUCAUGGAGGGCCCGGAUCCGGAGGAGGCCGGCGGCGGCGAGGGCGCCGGGCGCGCGCGCAGGGACGGGUGGGGGCGCUGGGUGCGCGGCCAGCUCGCGCGCGCCCCGUCGUCCGGGCCCGUGGCCUCCGGCGGCGGCGCCGGCGCGGCGAGGCGGAACGACCUCAGGAUGCUGCUCGGGGUCAUGGGCGCGGCGCUCGCGCCCGUGCAUGUCUGCGCCGCCGAGCCGCUCCCGCACCUCAGCAUCAAGGACACCCCCAUUGAGACUUCGUCGGCGCAGUACAUUCUGCAGCAGUAUCUGGCUGCCUCCGGCGGGCAGAAGCUCCUCUCUUCAGUCCGCAACUCGUAUGCCAUGGGGAAGGUGCGCAUGGUGGCUACCGAGUGCGAGACAGCGGGGCGUGUCGUGAAGAACCGCAUGGCGGCGCGCUGUGCUGAACCAGGCCGGUUCGUGCUGUGGCAGAUGGCUCCCGAGAUGUGGUACAUUGAGCUGGCUGUUGGUGGGAGCAAGGUGCACGCCGGAUGCAACGGCAAGCUCGUCUGGCGCCACACUCCAUGGCUUGGUGCACAUUCUGCCAAGGGACCUGUCCGCCCUCUCCGCCGCUCGCUUCAGGGUCUGGAUCCUUUGACCACGGCGAGCAUGUUUGCUGGUGCACGCUGCAUUGGCGAGAGGAAGGUGAAUGGGGACGAUUGCUUCAUUCUGAAGCUGUGUGCUGAUCCUGAGACGCUAAGAGCACGCAGCGAGGGGCUCGCGGAGAUCAUCCGGCAUGUCCUCUUUGGGUACUUCAGCCAGAAGACCGGGCUUCUUGUCCACCUCGAGGAUUCUCACCUCACUCGAAUUCAGUCCACAACCGGAGGUGAUGCGGUUUACUGGGAGACUACCAUCAAUUCGUUCAUCGAGGACUACCGGCCAGUGGAGGGGAUAAUGAUUGCACAUGCUGGGCGCUCGGCCGUGACCCUCUUCCGUUUCGGAGAGGUGGCCAUGAGCCACACCAAGACUCGCAUGGAAGAGGCAUGGAGCAUCGAGGAGGUGGCGUUCAAUGUUCCCGGUCUCUCCAUGGAUUGCUUCAUCCCACCCACUGAUAUCAAGUCUGGAUCCAUCAGUGAGACCAUGGAGCUUCCGCAGAGUGGGAAGAGCAAGGCCGGUGGUCUUCUCCCGUGCCAUGGUGCCAAGGUUGCUGCUCUAGAGAAGGCCGAUGAUAAUGUUGCGUGGAGCGGAGCCCUGCAGCGAGAUUGCAAGUGA